rnacentral:rRNA from 1 species
UACGAAGGGGGCUAGCGUUGCUCGGAAUUACUGGGCGUAAAGGGCGCGUAGGCGGAUAGUUUAGUCAGAGGUGAAAGCCCAGGGCUCAACCUUGGAAUUGCCUUUGAUACUGGCUAUCUUGAGUUCGGGAGAGGUGAGUGGAACUCCGAGUGUAGAGGUGAAAUUCGUAGAUAUUCGGAAGAACACCAGUGGCGAAGGCGACUCACUGGCCCGAUACUGACGCUGAGGCGCGAAAGCGUGGGGAGCAAACAGG